CUUUACUAGUAAAGCAGAGAAGAAACUUAGAAAGGUACUACCGGUUUCGCUAUGAGAGAGGAAAAUUAGUGUUUAAGGCUUUCUUAUUAUCUAAUUUCAAUGCUUGGAAAGAAAGGAAAAUUAUUUUUCUCAUGAAUUCCUUUUUUUCAAUUGAAUGUUUUCUUUCAUACCCUAUUUGCUAGCUCCUUGAAAGAAUACAGGGUGUUCCUACAAAUAAUCACUAUUAUCCCCCUGAAGAAAUGCUUCAAUUUAGAAAAUUCAAGGAAAAAAAACAUCUUUGAGGAAGAAGGACAAGCCAGACAUAGAUGCCAUUGAAGCUGAAGCAAUUUUGCAUGGUUGUAUAUCGAGGAUCUUGGUUCUCAAAAUGAUUUGAAAAUCAGAAAGGCUAUUCUAGGGGGAAACAAACUCUGAUCUUCACGGAUGAAGAUGAUAAGGUCCUCUACAAAUCUCUAGAAAGAGCAAGAAAAUUGAUUCUUAAAAAGAAGGAGGAAGCAGCAACAGGUUCCGAGUCUGUUGCGCUACUUGCUGCUGGCAAGGUGAGCAAUCAGAAUCAAGAUGAUGGAGCAGAGUCCCAAGAAAACAGACUUGUAAUUUCAGAGAUUGAACAGUUUGUUUGGGGUAUCCAGCUUGAGGAAGUUAUGUUUAUUUAUUGUAUUUUAUUUUUUCAUUUCUCAGUUGUAAAAGUUGAUCUUCCUUGGGGUUUGUGGGCUUUAAUUCGCUGCUGUUUUAUGAUAUUAUUAUGGAAGUUUAGAUUGUUGUCUUAUAAACCAGCUGGUAAAUAUUAGGUUUUCAGAAACAUGGACAAAGAGGUGAGUAAAUUUGUUGGCAUUGUAGAUGAUGAUAAAAAGGAUGAACAGAAAGAUGCUAGCCCACCUAAGGUUUAUCAAGGAAAUGACGUUUGCGUUGAAAGGAUCCAUGAAUUUUCUCAAAUUAUAAGUAUAUAGUUCUAUGUUCUGUUAAAGUUCUGGUAUUAGGUGUGACAUUGUUAGGUGUUAGCAAUUUAUUUUCUCUUGAUUUUAACAGUUGACUUCAGAGAGCAGAAUUUGAGAUAUCUUGUACAAGUAUGAAGAAUGCUUAAAUCAACUCUGAGAACACAUGAAGUCUAAGAAGACGAAGAGAUGAAACAUUCUGUCAGUGUCUAAGGAGAUGAGAAGGAAAAAUCAAGCUGAUCUCAAGACAAUGAAUCUUGUUACCUAUGGUCAUGUUAAACCAGAGUUCGAGAAUUCAUGUGACAGGCAUGCAGUUUUUGAUUUCAAUAUAUGAAUGCGCAAAAUUGGUAAGGAACUAGCAAAUUUUAAAAUUGGAAUAUCAAAUUUCAGGGAUACCAAGGAAGCCUAAAUCUAUCUAUAUAUAUAUAUAUAUAUAUUUUUUUUUUUUUUCAAUUCUUUUGGUAUUAUUUCAGAGCUGAUUACAUUGCAAAGGCAUAUGGCAAUCUGUGAAAAAUUAGGAAGCAAAUUUUGUGUCAUUCUCUCAGCCACUAGUUUUAGCCACUAAUUGCUGCUGUUGCUGAUGCUCGGAGCAGGGUGAUGGGAUUGAUUUCGAAAUGUUUAGAAUGUUUGGAUACAAAUUUAGACACUAAACCACUUGUUUAAAUGUUUAAGGAUUUUUUUUCUUAUUCGUUAUAUUUUAUUCCACGUGAUAUGAGAUAGAAAAUUUCAUGACAUAAUAAUCCAAAUACGAAUAAUAUAUUAAACAUAGACAAUCCAUCAAAAAAAAAAAAAAAGAAAAAAGAAAAAAAAAAGAAGAAAAA